AUGCAGGCCAGCCCUCAGUAAUGAAUAAUUGUGAGUGAUUGUUACUUGAAUACUCUAAAGUGAUGAGAAGGUUAAAAAGCAGAGAGAAAGUCUCCAUCUUUAAUGGCAUAAAGUGUAAAAUACUGAAGAAGUUACUUGCGAUGCUGCAAUUGCUUUCUAUUCCUUUCGGACUGAAAAAUAUACAUAAUUCGUACAUUCGUUGUACGUAAGCAAGCCAGAUAAAACGCUUGAGAUAAGAGAGAGGCGCCUGAUAUCACGUUGACUGGAUUAAGAACAAAAAGACGCAAAAGAUAGGAAGCUAAGAUUAAUACAAACCGAGAAAUUCCAACUUUAUGAUCCUUCCGUAUAUUCUAAGUUGAGAUGAAUUUUAGAUUCGAUUUACAAGUUUAUAAACUAAAUCCUGAUAUAUCUAUAUCUACAUAAAGCUUCUGAAUGCCAGGCAUCGUAGACUGUUGAUGCGUUGAUGCUUUCACGAGUGCAGUUGGCGAGUGCAAGGUCUCGUUAUCGUAGCUCGUAAAAUCACCGAUUGAAAUUGACGUUCAUGAGAAAGCGAGAUAAACGCAACUAUUUGUGAAAUCCUCAGUGCAACUUCUAUGCUCAUAUAUAUCCAAGUGGAACAGCAGAAACAUUGUUUAUUUACUCAAGAGUUGAGUUGGUAUGUUGAAUUGGAAAAUAAUAAUAUACUAUCAACAAGACAUCCUCUAAAAAGAUGGUUUGAGUUAUUAAUGGAUUUGCAGAUAAUGUAUGACGUAUGAAAACAUCUGUGAGAUAAAUCUUUGAUCGACAACACUACUUGUUAUAGUAGUUCACCGUUGAGGCAAAUAUUAACCCUGACCUAUGUCAUAAAUAAUACGAAUGAGCCAAUAGAAAAUAAGACUUGGAAGUCAAGUGCAAACAUUUAAACAAGUAACAAACAUGGAAAAUAAUUAUUACAACAUCGCUAAGUGGAAAAAUAAACUGAAGUCCGGCUAAUGUAAUGUCUACGAGAAUUUUUUUUACAGAGCCUGCUUUUAUCGUAUAAAAUUUAUGGGCUUUCCCAUGAACGAGUACGCAUUUUAUUGUAUGUUUGAAGAAAGAAUUAUAAAGGUGAAUCCUUUUCGUUUCAAAUCAAUUCUCCCAGUGCCAUAUAAAUCCGUAAAUACAAUAUAUUAAUACAGGUGUCACAGAGUUCUCAUACAUAUUUGGCCCUACGACGAAAUAUAAAAUCAAGGUUACACACUCAACUGGCUUUUACUUCCCACUAACAGCCGAUGACCAUGUCCGAACAGAUUCUAAGACCCAAAAUGUUUCAAGACGAUGCACCCGGUUGAACACGAAAAAAAGUGAAGAUCCUGUGUACAGGUAAUGGUGAUCUAAAACUCCCUGGAGUGAACCCUCAACUUUCAUUGACCUGCUCCGCCUUCCCAGGCUUUCUACCGCAUAAGACCCGCAUAGAACUCAUGCCUGUGCAUAUAUGAUUUCAAAUAAUAGGCCUCAAGUUAGCAACUGUGUGGAUUCAUGAAUAUAGAUUUUAUUAAAAAUGCUGAUAAGUAACUUCUCAGAAUUAUUGAAUGAAAGAAGCUUGAACAAAUCAUCAAGGCUAUUAAGUUGUAUACUUUGUAUAUCUAACGAACGAUCCUCUGGUUCAAAUGUCGCAGAGUACAAUAUAUUUGAGCUGAAGAGGAUACUUAUUAUAAAGAAUCCGCGCUUUCGAUCAGCUUUCACCGUUACUUCGCC